rnacentral:antisense_RNA from 1 species
GUAGUCAGCAAUGCAUUGAAAGUUUAACGGCCGUCAAGCUUGUCCUUACUGCUCACUACACAGAUUUAUGCUGCUUUUUCUUAUUAACUCCUAUGUUUGUAUCCGCCCAGAACCAGAUUGUUCUGGGCUUUUUUUA